GAUGAACGCUGGCGGCGUGCCUAAUACAUGCAAGUCGAGCGAACAGACGAGGAGCUUGCUCCUCUGACGUUAGCGGCGGACGGGUGAGUAACACGUGGAUAACCUACCUAUAAGACUGGGAUAACUUCGGGAAACCGGAGCUAAUACCGGAUAAUAUAUUGAACCGCAUGGUUCAAUAGUUAAAGACGGUUUUGCUGUCUCUUAUAGAUGGAUCCGCGCCGCAUUAGCUAGUUGGUAAGGUAACGGCUUACCAAGGCAACGAUGCGUAGCCGACCUGAGAGGGUGAUCGGCCACACUGGAACUGAGACACGGUCCAGACUCCUACGGGAGGCAGCAGUAGGGAAUCUUCCGCAAUGGGCGAAAGCCUGACGGAGCAACGCCGCGUGAGUGAUGAAGGUCUUCGGAUCGUAAAACUCUGUUAUUAGGGAAGAACAAAUGUGUAAGUAACUAUGCACGUCUUGACGGUACCUAAUCAGAAAGCCACGGCUAACUACGUG
rnacentral:rRNA from 1 species